CCUACGGGGGGCAGCAGUGAGGAAUAUUGGUCAAUGGGCGAGAGCCUGAACCAGCCAAGUAGCGUGCAGGAUGACGGCCCUAUGGGUUGUAAACUGCUUUUAUAGGGGAAUAAAGUGAGCUACGUGUAGUUUAUUGCAUGUACCCUAUGAAUAAGGACCGGCUAAUUCCGUGCCAGCAGCCGCGGUAAUACGGAAGGUUCGGGCGUUAUCCGGAUUUAUUGGGUUUAAAGGGAGCGUAGGCCGUGGAUUAAGCGUGUUGUGAAAUGUAGAUGCUCAACAUCUGACUUGCAGCGCGAACUGGUUUACUUGAGUGUGCGCAACGUAGGCGGAAUUCGUCGUGUAGCGGUGAAAUGCUUAGAUAUGACGAAGAACUCCGAUUGCGAAGGCAGCUUACGGGAGCACAACUGACGCUGAAGCUCGAAGGUGCGGGUAUCAAACAGGAUUAGAUACCCCAGUAGUC
rnacentral:rRNA from 1 species